GAUGAAGAACGUAGCGAAAUGCGAUACGUAGUGUGAAUUGCAGAAUUCAGUGAAUCGUCGAAUCUUUGAACGCACAUUGCACCUCUCGGUAUUCCGGGAGGUAUGCCUGUUCGAGCGUCAUUUGUACCCUCAAGCUCUGCUUGGUGUUGGGUGUUUGUUCCGCCUCUGUGUGUGAACUCGCCUCAAAACAAUUGGCAGCCGGCGUACUUGUUUCGGAGCGCAGCACAUUUUGCGAUCCAGAUCAACGUACAGCGGCAUCCAAGAAGCCUUAUUUAACGCUCUUGACCUCGGAUCAGGUAGGGAUACCCGCUGAACUUAAGCAUAUCAAUAAGCGGAGGA
rnacentral:misc_RNA from 1 species